CAAAAUAAGUGAUAUAGAGCAAAACCCUAAAAAACGGUACUCAGUUCGGAUUGAAGGCUGAAAUUCGCCUUCAUGAAGCUGGAAUUGCUAGUAAUGGCAGGUCAGCAUACUGCCGUGAAUACGUUCCCGGGCCUUGUACACACCGCCCGUCACACCAUGAGAGUUGGGAAUACCCGAAGCCUGUGAGCUAACAUAUGAGGCAGCAGUCGAAGGUAGAAUCAAUGAUUGGGGUGAAGUCGUAACAAGGUACC
rnacentral:rRNA from 1 species